GCCCCCGUAGCCCAACCGGCAGAGGCAGACGGCUUAAACCCGUCCCAGUGCGGGUUCGAAUCCCGUCGGGGGUACAC
rnacentral:tRNA from 3 species